UAGGGAAUCUUCCGCAAUGGACGCAAGUCUGACGGAGCAACGCCGCGUGAGUGAAGAAGGAUUUCGGUUCGUAAAACUCUGUUGUUAGAGAAGAACAGCGCAUAGAGUAACUGUUAUGCGUGUGACGGUACCGGAAUAGAAAGCCACGGCUAACUACGUGCCAGCAGCCGCGGUAAUACGUAGGUGGCAAGCGUUGUCCGGAAUUAUUGGGCGUAAAGCGCGCGCAGGCGGACUAGCCAGUCAGUCUUAAAAGUUCGGGGCUUAACCCCGUGAUGGGAUUGAAACUACUAGUCUAGAGUAUCGGAGAGGAAAGUGGAAUUCCUAGUGUAGCGGUGAAAUGCGUAGAUAUUAGGAAGAACACCAGUGGCGAAGGCGACUUUCUGGACGAACACUGACGCUGAGGCGCGAAAGCCAGGGGAGCGAACGGG
rnacentral:rRNA from 1 species